rnacentral:rRNA from 1 species
CCGGCACGGGUGAGUAACACGUAUGCAAUCCACCUGUAACAGGGGGAGUAACCCGGAGAAAUCCGACUAAUACCCAUAAUAUGGGCGCUCCGCAUGGAGAGCCCAUUAAAGAGAGCAAUUUUGGUUACAGACGAGCAUGCGCUCCAUUAGCCAGUUGGCGGGGUAACGGCCCACCAAAGCGACGAUGGAUAGGGGUUCUGAGAGGAAGGUCCCCCACAUUGGAACUGAGACACGGUCCAA